AGUGAACGCUGGCGGUAGGCCUAACACAUGCAAGUCGAACGGCAGCACAGUAAGAGCUUGCUCUUACGGGUGGCGAGUGGCGGACGGGUGAGGAAUACAUCGGAAUCUACUUUUUCGUGGGGGAUAACGUAGGGAAGCUUACGCUAAUACCGCAUACGACCUACGGGUGAAAGCAGGGGAUCUUCGGACCUUGCGCGAUUGAAUGAGCCGAUGUCGGAUUAGCUAGUUGGCGGGGUAAAGGCCCACCAAGGCGACGAUCCGUAGCUGGUCUGAGAGGAUGAUCAGCCACACUGGAACUGAGACACGGUCCAGACUCCUACGGGAGGCAGCAGUGGGGAAUAUUGGACAAUGGGCGCAAGCCUGAUCCAGCCAUACCGCGUGGGUGAAGAAGGCCUUCGGGUUGUAAAGCCCUUUGUUGGGAAAGAAAAGCAGCAGGUUAAUACCCCGCUGUUCUGACGGUACCCAAAGAAUAAGCACCGGCUAACUUCGUG
rnacentral:rRNA from 1 species